CUAACUUUGUACCUUGAAAGAUAGAGUGGAGCAACCUGACCUGGGUUCGUAGUGAAACGUUAGUCCGUAGCCACAGUCAAGUCAACAUUUUCUACAAGAUUUAGAGGGUCUUUACGGCAACUGAAGACCUCAGUACAAGAGGAGUAUGAUACCUUUAUGGAGGCCCUUGUUGCUAUUGUGAGUGUUCUGGCCUUGUUCAUUUUGUUGUGCGUGUGUGUAUGCCGUUGGUCUUUCGGGAACACCUCAUCAGAAGAAAUCACGAUUGGGGGCUCAGCAGCUGCUGCAGACAGCCUGACAGGAGAGACGAGGGUGCCAAUCUUCGUUCACCCAACGCAAAGCGUGGGCUCAAGCAGUCAAGGCAGGACUUCAUACCAGACCACAAGGCCGUCCACCCUAUCAUCAUCAGCUCCAAGGUAUCCUGCAAACCAGGGCCCUUCACAUUCCACCACGUAUCAUCAGCACACCAUGGCUUCAGGAGGGCCAGGAUCCAACCGACACCCCUGGGCACCACCUCCUGUGGAAGAUGAGAGUCGACCAUUUGUUGAGGAAAACGGGUGGGAUAGUGCCUCGGUCGAGCUACCUCCUCCAGCGUACAGUUCUUUGUUCCCAGACAGGGUAUGAAACGGACAAUGUGUGGAAGAGUUGAAGUUGCAAAAAGCUGAUUUCUUAUUCACAACUUCAGUCUAACAAGGUUCUAACUUGGAGUUUUUAUUGUUUGGAGAUAUGAUUUCUAUAGCCUCCCUCUAUGCUACUUUUACUUUGUAUGCCUGUCAAAGUUAGAAUUCCUGUUUCUUUUCUUUCUGAGAUAAACACCAUGUAAAUUUUAUUUUUCUUUUGAGAGAAGCAAAGUGUGUGAAAACUUUGAACUCAAAUAUCUCUAAAGUGAGUGCAACUGAGAAAAAACCUUAUAAUUCUGGGGCUGCUGCUGUCUGAGGAUAAUUGAGAUUUUGUACUUUAUGGGGUGUGUUCAUGGUGUAGGACUAGCUUCUGUCAUAAAUUAGCGAUUAAGCUCUGCACCAUUGUCAUUGAUUGCAGAGAACGUGCAUUGGAUUUCCACAUGGGAAAGUGGAAAAGUUUAAAAUCCAGUAUCUCUGUCUAUUUACUGGAAUGUUGUAUACCGCUCAGCCUGGCUGACCCUGAGAGGCAGGGGCGAAGCAGCCCACCUCUCUAAUAAUCUAGAUUGUGUUACUGGUGGUGUAAAACACUUGCAUCAACGUAAUGUAAUAUUGCCUUUCUAUUCUUUCUUUAUGGUUCCAGGAAGUUGAGACUGUUUCAGAAUGCUAUUAGGUGUGCUGGGAUAAUACGUUGUAAAGCAUAUAGAGCUUGCUGCUGAGCAGGAGUUUGCAUUACAUUACAAAUAAUUUAUAUUAUAUUAUUACUGUUUCUUGUAUAUUUUUAAAGUUUUUUAAGCUACUCAUAUGGGGAUGUACUAUCAUCAACAGUCAAGUCCUCAACCACUGCUUUGUUUGGCUAUCAAUCUUUUUUCGUAAUCUGGCGGAAAUCUUUCUAGUGAAUGUUUUUGUGAUGGAUGGCCUUUUCAUUGCCUUUUGUGUCUUGACAGACAAUCUUAAAGCUGCAUGUAUGAUACAGCUGUGUCUGGGCUUUUGUAGUGAAUAAUUAUCAUGAGGGCAAGUCUAAAGCUUUGAAAAAAUUGAUGUACAGUUGAACCUGCUCACCACAAGAGGCCGUUCCAUUUUCCCCCUUCGCGUGUUUUUGUGUGUAAUUUACAGACACCUCCUGCAAUGAUAUCCUAUCCAAUGCGGCCACAACCACUAUAUUUUAUCAACCGACUACCAAAAUAAAAAAUCUGUUCAAG
rnacentral:lncRNA from 1 species